rnacentral:lncRNA from 1 species
CUCGGUCACAUACAAAAUCCCAUGUUAUCCUCGAAUUACGCUUUGAUGGUGAAUAAGGGAGGUAUUGUCUAAUUUGCUGAACAGAGAGAAACUGGAUCUAUAAAUGGGUCUUUUGUGGCUCUUUCCUGUGUCCUGGGAGGGCUAGGUUGGGCCCCAUGCUAUUCCUCCCAACCCUGAGAUUGGCCACCAGCAUGUCAUGGGUCAAAGCCUCAUGGCUUUUCCUGGCCUUGAAAUUUGCCAACAUUUUCCUUCUCUAACACCCAUUGCUCUGUGCUAUGCAUACAGGACUGUCCCCCCCACCCCCCCACCCCCGCCUUUUCUAUCCCCCGUCGACACUCCAUACCUGUCUGGUGUUUCCCAUCAUUUGCAGUCUUCUCAGCCUGGAACACUUCUGUUUCUUGCUUCAACAACUGACUCAGAUCUAACAGACAUCUAAUGAGCGCCGCCUACGUGUCAGGCAUCAUGCAAGGCAUUCUGACGCCUGAGAGCGAAAACCCGUAUCACAGAAGAGUUGUCCUGGAGGAAGAGGAAGUAAAAAGAGAAAAGACGUUUUACAUUCUGGGUGAAGCUCUUGAUUUUCAAGCUCCACUGCAAUCUCUGAGCUCAAGGAGGAGAGAGCUUCACUGGACCUGUUACCAAAUGUGUUGCUGCCCCUGGCUUUGUAAACUACCAUGGUUCAGCAGGGAGACUAGCCUGGAUAUCGCUUUAUGGUUGCAAAGCUCCUGAGCUGUAGAAGGACAGACUCACAAUGGGACAAGGUCUGGGUCUCUGCUGAACUUUGCCGAUACACACGCUUUUACUCAAUCUUCUCGAAGAAGAGAAAUGAACCCAGAACCCAAGGCGGCUUCCUGGGAUGCCAAAGGACCGACGAGCUCUUGAGGGAGAGCCGAGAACGAUGCUUCCCAGCUGCGAUGCAGGACGGGAAGCUUGCAACACAGGCAGUCCUGGUGAGAUUCUGGGUUUUCCUCACCGGGAGCAGUGUUUGCUCUUUCGCAACAAGCA